rnacentral:tRNA from 1 species
AGAGAUGUAACCCAGUUGGUAGGGUGCCUGUCUAUCAUACAUGAUGCCCUGGGUUCAAUUCACAGCACUA